rnacentral:lncRNA from 1 species
UCCCUUCUCUAUAUUUGUCCUCUUUACUCAUGGUAUUCUCUUACGUAUAUAAAUCCAAAUUACUGUUCUUUCACAUCAACAUAUUUAGCUUCACUCAAUGUGCCGUAGACACACAAUAGGUAUAUUCAACAACACUAUCAUAUCUCUGAACCAGUAUCGAUUUACAAUUAUAUACAAACAUAAUCAUUGGCACACUGAAUGUAU